GUUUCGUGGUGUAGUUGGUUAUCAAGUCAGUCUAACACACUGAAGGUCUCCGGUUCAAACCCAGCCUCUGAAACU
rnacentral:tRNA from 1 species